rnacentral:tRNA from 1 species
AGGAGUGUAGUUUAGUGGUAGAGCAUAUGCCUAGUAUGCACAAGGUCUUGGUUCCAUUUCUAGUACUACAA